rnacentral:rRNA from 1 species
UGGGGAAUCUUCCGCAAUGGGCGAAAGCCUGACGGAGCAACGCCGCGUGAAUGAAGAAGGCCUUCGGGUCGUAAAGUUCUGUCUUUUGGGAAGAAGGCCCAUGGGGUAAAUAAUCCUAUGGGAUGACAGUACCAGAGGAGGAAGCUCCGGCUAACUACGUGCCAGCAGCCGCGGUAAUACGUAGGGAGCGAGCGUUGUCCGGAAUUACUGGGCGUAAAGGGCGCGUAGGCGGGUAUUUAAGUCAGAUGUGAAAGCCCCGGGCUUAACUCGGGGAUUGCAUUUGAAACUGGGUAUCUUGAGGGCAGGAGAGGAAAGUGGAAUUCCUAGUGUAGCGGUGGAAUGCGUAGAUAUUAGGAGGAACACCAGUGGCGAAGGCGACUUUCUGGACUGUACCUGACGCUGAGGCGCGAAAGCAUGGGGAGCAAACGGG